CAGUCGCCGCGGUAAUACGGAGGGAGCUAGCGCUGUUCGGAAUUACUGGGCGUAAAGCGCGCGUAGGCGGUUACUCAAGUCAGAGGUGAAAGCCCGGGGCUCAACCCCGGAACUGCCUUUGAAACUAGGUGACUAGAAUCUUGGAGAGGUCAGUGGAAUUCCGAGUGUAGAGGUGAAAUUCGUAGAUAUUCGGAAGAACACCAGUGGGGAAGGCGACUGACUGGACAAGUAUUGACGCUGAGGUGCGAAAGCGUGGGGAGCAAACAGGAUUAGAUACCCCAGUAGUCCCUGUCUCUUAUAC
rnacentral:rRNA from 1 species